rnacentral:rRNA from 1 species
GAUGAACGCUGGCGGCGUGCUUAACACAUGCGAGUCGAACGGUGAAGCUCCAGCUUGCUGGAGUGGAUCAGUGGCGAACGGGUGAGUAACACGUGAGCAACCUGCCCCUGACUCUGGGAUAACAGCCGGAAACGGCUGCUAAUACCGGAUAUGCACCAUGAACGCAUGUUCUGUGGUGGGAAAGAUUUUUCGGUUGGGGAUGGGCUCGCGGCCUAUCAGCUUGUUGGUGAGGUAAUGGCUCACCAAGGCGUCGACGGGUAGCCGGCCUGAGAGGGUGACCGGCCACACUGGGACUGAGACACGGCCCAGACUCCUACGGGAGGCAGCAGUGGGGAAUAUUGCACAAUGGGCGAAAGCCUGAUGCAGCAACGCCGCGUGAGGGAUGACGGCCUUCGGGUGGUAAACCUCUUUUAGCAGGGAAGAAGCGAGAGUGACGGUACCUGCAGAAAAAGCGCCGGCUAACUACGU